UACGUAGGUGGCAAGCGUUGUCCGGAUUUACUGGGCGUAAAGGGCGUGCAGGCGGUUUGUUAAGUCUAGGGUGAAAGCUCCCGGCUCAACUGGGAGAGGUCCUUGGAUACUGGCAGACUUGAGGAGGGUAGAGGAGAGUGGAAUUCCCGGUGUAGUGGUGAUAUGCGUAGAGAUCGAGAGGAACACUCGUGGCGAAAGCGAGUCACUGGACAGUAUCUGACGCUGAUGCACGAAGGCUAGGGGAGCGAAAGGG
rnacentral:rRNA from 1 species